UUACUCAAAAGGACUGCGGAGACAAAAUAGAGGCAUCUGGAUAAGACUUUAUUGGUCAAUUGAUCACUUGACAGUUCAUAAUAUCCUUGCAAGCACAAUAGUCAACAACCACCUACAAUUUCAUCAUAGCGUAUUGUAGCAUCCAAAGCCCCAAAGGAAUGAAAACAUCAAUCACAUAAUGAAAUGUUGAACUAAUUUUUAGGCAAGGCAAAGUAGCUUCAACACUGCAGGGCGCAAAAAGAAGUUAAGCAAAUUUUCGUCAUCAUUCUUUUGCAGCAGCAGCUUCUGCAUCAGGAAAGUAAUCAUGCCUGGAAAAGUGGAAAACAAAAUUGUAAGUUUCUAAUGGAGAUAUCAACUUCAUAGGCAAUAGCACAUCUGAAAAACUAUUACAGGAAGGAAAAAAGUGUAGGAUGAUUUCUAAUAAAUUUAGAUGUAUUAAAACUAUAACCAUUUAGGCUUAAUACUUUUCAUUAGGAUUUAGGAGAUCUCAAGUUCAAAUCCUGCUAGGAUCAAAGUGGGGAGACUUGUAGAAAGAGGAUGAGAUAGCCCCCAAUUUUGCAUGGACCAAAGGAAGAAGAAUAAGAAGAAGAAGAAACAAAAGAAAAUUGGUUGAUUACUCCCUCUAGCCUCUGGGUAUAUAUACUGUUACACAUGAACCAAGAAUGUCAUGUUACACAUUUACAACACAUAUUUACGGACAUAAACAAAACACACAAAUCUCAACACUAAUUCACUCAAUCGCAACUCAAUCACAAUACUCAAAUCACUCAAUCACAACUAGCAUUCUAACAGCUCAUUCAGAUCACUAGAGUAAAAUUGUUAUAUUUUAUGUUUUUGGAAGUUUUAGGAUUAUUUGUUGUGAUAAUUUUGGGGAAGUAACAUUUGUAGGGACCCGAUUAAAAUAUUGUUUGCUUGUUUAACACCUUGAUAGUGGGAUCUGUUAUCGUGUUUGCCUAAUUGUGUGUCCUUGGGUAAUUGGAGAAGGAAACUUAAGACCAUAAUGUCUUGUGGGGGAGGUUAUGCCCAAAGACAUGGGAAUGAUCUAGGAAAAUUUUUUCCCUGAAGACUGAAGAGGCUAUCGACCUGGUGAUAAGUGUAGAAAAGAAUUGUGAAAUAGGUGGAUUAUCAUGAAAAAUAAGUUUCAUAUACUUAGAAAUUUAUGUUAAAUAUCCUUGUGACAUUUUUUCUAGGUUAUGGCCUAACUUUCGAAGACUUGUUUGCUAUGAAAACGGAAGGAUACUGUUGUGUACAACAAUAUACAAGGGGUGGGAGAUGAUGAGGAACAUUAUGCACUGAAUGUUUGUGAAGGAGUGCCAUCCUCUUUAUCAUAAUCAUUUGCUAAAUGUGAAUCCCUAGAUAGGGACAGAGGGUACUUCUAUGGAUUUCAAAUAAAUAGUGUCAGGAUCAGUUUUCAUUUGCAAAAAGCUUUUUCUUUUUAACUUCAUAUAAUUUCUAAUAACUUAGAUGUCAUUGUUUGAGAAAAAUGGAAUUGAGGAUUGAUCAAAUGAGUGGCUGGCUUUUGAUCCCACUUAAUUUAUGACAAAUUGGUUGUUUGUCAUAUAUGCCCCUGAGAGUGCUUGGGAUUAUUGCUUAUCGAAGAAGAAGAAGAAGAAGAAGA
rnacentral:misc_RNA from 1 species